GACGAACGCUGGCGGCGUGCUUAACACAUGCAAGUCGAACGGAAAGGCCCCCUUGUGGGGUACUCGAGUGGCGAACGGGUGAGUAACACGUGAGUAACCUACCCUUGACUUUGGGAUAACUUCAGGAAACUGGGGCUAAUACCGGAUAGGAGCUCCUGCUGCAUGGUGGGGGUCGGAAAGUUUCGGCGGUUGGGGAUGGACUCGCGGCUUAUCAGCUUGUUGGUGGGGUAGUGGCUCACCAAGGCGUUGACGGGUAGCCGGCCUGAGAGGGUGACCGGCCACAUUGGGACUGAGAUACGGCCCAGACUCCUAUGGGAGGCAGAGGUGGGGAAUAUUGCACAAUGGGCGGAAGCCUGAUGCAGCAACGCCGCGUGCGGGAUGACGGCCUUCGGGUUGUAAACCGCUUUCGCCUGUGACGAAGCGUGAGUGACGGUAAUGGGUAAAGAAGCACCGGCUAACUACGUG
rnacentral:rRNA from 1 species